rnacentral:rRNA from 1 species
GAAUGAACCGGCGAGUUACGAUUUGAUGCAAGGUUAAGCAGUAAAUGUGGAGCCGUAGCGAAAGCGAGUCUGAAUAGGGCGUUUAGUAUUUGGUCGUAGACCCGAAACCAGGUGAUCUACCCUUGGUCAGGUUGAAGUUCAGGUAACACUGAAUGGAGGACCGAACCGACUUACGUUGAAAAGUGAGCGGAUGAACUGAGGGUAGCGGAGAAAUUCCAAUCGAACCUGGAGAUAGCUGGUUCUCUCCGAAAUAGCUUUAGGGCUAGCCUCAAGUGAUGAUUAUUGGAGGUAGAGCACUGUUUGGACGAGGGGCCCCUCUCGGGUUACCGAAUUCAGACAAACUCCGAAUGCCAAUUAAUUUAACUUGGGAGUCAGAACAUGGGUGAUAAGGUCCGUGUUCGAAAGGGAAACAGCCCAGACCACCAGCUAAGGUCCCAAAAUAUAUGUUAAGUGGAAAAGGAUGUGGCGUUGCCCAGACAACUAGGAUGUUGGCUUAGAAGCAGCCAUCAUUUAAAGAGUGCGUAAUAGCUCACUAGUCGAGUGACACUGCGCCGAAAAUGUACCGGGGCUAAACAUAUUACCGAAGCUGUGGAUUGUCCUUUGGACAAUGGUAGGAGAGCGUUCUAAGGGCGUUGAAGCAUGAUCGUAAGGACAUGUGGAGCGCUUAGAAGUGAGAAUGCCGGUGUGAGUAGCGAAAGACGGGUGAGAAUCCCGUCCACCGAUUGACUAAGGUUUCCAGAGGAAGGCUCGUCCGCUCUGGGUUAGUCGGGUCCUAAGCUGAGGCCGACAGGCGUAGGCGAUGGAUAACAGGUUGAUAUUCCUGUACCACCUAUAAUCGUUUUAAUCGAUGGGGGGACGCAGUAGGAUAGGCGAAGCGUGCGAUUGGAUUGCACGUCUAAGCAGUAAGGCUGAGUAUUAGGCAAAUCCGGUACUCGUUAAGGCUGAGCUGUGAUGGGGAGAAGACAUUGUGUCUUCGAGUCGUUGAUUUCACACUGCCGAGAAAAGCCUCUAGAUAGAAAAUAGGUGCCCGUACCGCAAACCGACACAGGUAGUCAAGAUGAGAAUUCUAAGGUGAGCGAGCGAACUCUCGUUAAGGAACUCGGCAAAAUGACCCCGUAACUUCGGGAGAAGGGGUGCUCUUUAGGGUUAACGCCCAGAAGAGCCGCAGUGAAUAGGCCCAAGCGACUGUUUAUCAAAAACACAGGUCUCUGCUAAACCGUAAGGUGAUGUAUAGGGGCUGACGCCUGCCCGGUGCUGGAAGGUUAAGAGGAGUGGUUAGCUUCUGCGAAGCUACGAAUCGAAGCCCCAGUAAACGGCGGCCGUAACUAUAACGGUCCUAAGGUAGCGAAAUUCCUUGUCGGGUAAGUUCCGACCCGCACGAAAGGCGUAACGAUUUGGGCACUGUCUCAACGAGAGACUCGGUGAAAUCAUAGUACCUGUGAAGAUGCAGGUUACCCGCGACAGGACGGAAAGACCCCGUGGAGCUUUACUGUAGCCUGAUAUUGAAAUUCGGCACAGCUUGUACAGGAUAGGUAGGAGCCUUUGAAACGUGAGCGCUAGCUUACGUGGAGGCGCUGGUGGG